AAAAAACUAGAGUAAUGUUUGAAAGGCUUCAGGAAUGUGUUAUUCAUUAUGUUGUUAAACACAAGUAUGGUCAAUAAAACAUGAUUUUAAUGGUGCGAUAUGAUUUGAGAGUGUGAGCCACAAAGAAUGUUUAACCAAUUGAAAUUAUAAGCGUAAUGUGAACAAAAUUCAGUAGAUUUAUACACUAAACUAAAUGAUACAAGUGAAUUGUCAUCAGAAUGAUCGCUGGUAGCAACUUGGAAAAGGAUUUCAGCAUCAUUGCGCCUCCUCGGAGAAGCAUAAUCAGCACAAAGUUCCUGAUUGCAGAAACUUUACGUAUGAAACUGAACUUAUCCCACAAUUAUGCACAGAGAAAAGGCGAGAUCGAAGACCUCGUGGGACAAAAUCUGCACAUACCAUCAUGCGCAAGCUAUGGGAAAAUAUACGCAUGCACGCACAGCGAGCAAGCUUUUGUUCGACCAAUUUUCAACAACUGUUGGCCAAUGUUAUUGUAUAUCAUGUUUUGAUUUCUGUUUUCAAUAAACACCGUAUUUCAUUAAAUAAUUAAAUGUAAACUUUGUUAAUAUAAAUCUUGUUAUUCUAAACAUUUUCAUCUAACUUUUAAAACGUUAUUCUAUAAUAACCCUUUCUGCUAUAGGCAUAAGACUUGAAAUUGAA